CCUACGGGUGGCUGCAGUCGAGAAUCUUCGGCAAUGGGCGCAAGCCUGACCGAGCGACGCCGCGUGCGAGAUGAAGGCCUUCGGGUUGUAACUCGCUGUCAGAGGGGAGGAAAUGCCGGUGGGUUCUCCCAUCGGUUUGACCUAUCCUCAGAGGAAGGACGGGCUAAGUUCGUGCCAGCAGCCGCGGUAAGACGAACCGUCCAAACGUUAUUCGGAAAAGGGGGCGUUGAAGGUUGGGCAGGUUGUCCGUGAAAGCCCUCAGCUCAACUGAGGAAGUGCGCCCAAAACUGCCGGACUUGAGGGAGACAUAGGUGAGCGGAACUUAGGGUGGAGCGGUGAAAUGCGUUGAGAUCCUAAGGAACACCAGUAGCGAAAGCGGCUCACUGGGUCUCUUCUGACGCUGAUGCACGAAAGCUAGGGGAGCGAAGAGGAUUAGAUACCCCUGUAGUC
rnacentral:rRNA from 1 species